ACAAUGGCUCUUUUAAGAGCCACUCACAACAACUUAAAACCCUGA
rfam:Poecilia formosa, whole genome shotgun sequence.